rnacentral:rRNA from 1 species
UAGUCAUAUGCUUGUCUCAAAGAUUAAGCCCUGUUUGUCUAAGUAUAAGCAAUCUAUACGGUGAAACUGCGAAUGGCUCAUUAAAUCAGUUAUCGUUUAUUUGAUAGUACCUUACUACUUGGAUAACCGUGGUAAUUCUAGAGCUAAUACAUGCUAAAAACCCCGACUUCGGAAGGGGUGUAUUUAUUAAAUAAAAAACCAAUGCCCUUCGGGGCUCCUUGGUGAUUCAUAAUAACUUAACAAAUCGCAUGGCCUUGUGCCGGCGAUGGUUCAUUCAAAUUUCUGCCCUAUCAACUUUCGAUUGUAAGGUAGUGGCUUACAAUGGUUUCAACGGGUAACGGGAAAUUAGGGUUCUAUUCCGGAGAGGGAGCCUGAGAAACGGCUACCACAUCCAAGGAAGGCAGCAGGCGCGCAAAUUACCCAAUCCCGACACGGGGAGGUAGUGACAAUAAAUACUGAUACAGGGCUCUUUUGGGUCUUGUAAUUGGAAUGAGUACAAUUUAAAUCCCUUAACGAGGAACAAUU